UGAAAGCUCGUUUAUUCACCAUAUGAUGCUCGUUAUGAGGUAAUCAUAUAGGCUAGAUACCGUGAGUUAACGAGGUCGUUUACAUGCACGUGAGUGCACGGAUAUCGGUUAAUUAUUCAAAUUACUAAAAAACACGGAGAAAACCGCAACCGCAUGGUCAUGUGUUUUUCUAAGAUGUAUGCAAACAGGGGAAAUAUCGCCAAACCAACAAUUAAUUUUACCAAAACCUCACAAUAUAUCAUCAUUUGUAUGCACACAUUGCAGGAUUGGAUGCAUUGUGUGUUGUAAGCUUUUCGUGGCGCUAGAUGUCAGACAGAUGCAAAUGGCAAAUACAUACGAAUGUGUAAAACGUGUAUGGCAAACAUUUGCUUUUCUGUCAUUAUAGAUGCUAGUUUGGUGAAAGUACACACUGAGUGCUUCACAUCAUUUAAAAGAGAUGCUGUUUUUAGGGCAGUUUAUUAAAGAAGACCUGACAUGGAUAUGACUCCCAAUGAGAAACGACUGCUAAUACUUAUAAAUUCAUUACAGAAGGACCCUACCAGACUAUAUUUGAAUACGGCAUACCCGUGAAUUCUGGAACUGUUAUUCCUUAACCCAGUUUGGAGGAUAAGAGCUUACCAACUAGUUAUAAAUAUGCUGAGGUGAUGUAUUGCAAUACAACAAUUAAAGGAUAAUUGCAGACUACAUCCUGAUGAAGAUAUGGAUGACCCUCUGUCUGGUCAACAGGGGUUUAAAUAUGGAUGGGACAGUUAUGUGGCAGCUCUUCCCUGGCUCAUUCACCUCUUGCCUUCAUUUGUGAAAGGAAGAAAGACUGGAGAGGGUCAAUGUGCAACUGAAGCUACUGACUGUGCUGUGUAAGUUUUUUGGUAUUUUGUUCUAGUUAUUUAUUCAGCAGUUAGUUUGCUUGCAUUGUUCACCCCAUGUAAAUGCAUACAAGUUCAUAAAUACACAUCAAAUACACUCUUUUAAAACACUCUUAGGUGAUGAGCAUCAAUCCAUGCUUUGAGGUGGAUGGAUCAGCACAGCCCU